UGCCGUCUGAAGCCUGCACCGGCUGCUGA
rnacentral:piRNA from 1 species